rnacentral:rRNA from 1 species
GACGAACCGAGCGAACGUUGUUCGGAAUCACUGGGCUUAAAGGGCGCGUAGGCGGUGCGGUAAGUCACCUGUGAAACCUCUAGGCUCAACCUAGAGCCUGCAGGCGAAACUGCCGUGCUUGAGGGUGGGAGAGGUGCGUGGAAUUCCCGGUGUAGUGGUGGAAUGCGUAGAUAUCGGGAGGAACACCAGUGGCGAAGGCGGUUGCCUGGAGCUUUGCUGACGCUGAGGCGCGAAAGCGUGGGGAGCGAUCCGG